rnacentral:rRNA from 1 species
GGAUCAGUAUGUCGGUCGUGCUUCGGUACGUACUGUCAUUACUGGUUUCCCUCUUCUGACGAACCAUGAUGUCAUUAAUUUGGCGUCUUGGGAAAUCAGGACUGUUACUUUGAAAAAAUUAGAGUGUUUAAAGCAGGCAUACGCUUGAAUACAUUAGCAUGGAAUAAUGAAAUAGGACGUUUGAUUCUAUUUUGUUGGUUUCUAGGAUCGACGUA